rnacentral:lncRNA from 1 species
AUUUGAUCACUUUCUUAAUGUAGUGGUUGAAGAGAACUGUCAUUUAAACAGUGCAGAUAAAGCCCUGAGAAAUAAGUAUGCAUUUCCUAUUAGAGAAAUGUUCUCCAAGAGACAUUUAAAAGGACCUAGGAUGAGGACCCAGCAUGGCCCUGCGUGGAGCCGGGACUUGGGUUUUGUAUGGUUGCAUGAACUGCCACUGGCUGUUUCAGAAUAAAGUGCUCUACAAAACAUGUUUUCUAGCAGAUAGUACCUUCUCGUCGUAUAAAAGCUUGGGCAAAUUUUCAGAGUGGACGCAAAGUCAAGCAGGAUCAUCAGCAAAGAGAGGGACCAUAAACCAAGAAACAUUUGUUCUUAUCAGAGCCAACUCCGUGUGAAUGAUAUUCCGCAGUUCGUCACUCCAGCUGCUGGAACAGAACGUUCCAGGGAGAUGGGAUUUGCCCCAUUGCUUUACUGGAAACAGUGGGCGGGGGUGCAGAUCUGGUUCUUAGGAAAAGAAGACUUUAGCCCUGAAGAGCCAAGAUGUAGUCCCAACGCCUCAGAGAAUGUGUCUGGCAUGAAGUGAUGUAGAUGUGAUGGUUAAAGAUGCAGCUGCCAUCUUGGAUUAUGAAGUAACCAUGGAUAUGGAAGACACAUAUGAUGAAACAAGGUAGAAGCAGCCUGGGUCCUUGAUGUUACGGCCAACUUACCUCUAGACUUCUUUGAAGCAGAGAAAUAGGCUUGCUUAAGCUACAGGUGACCAAACUGAGGCAUGGGGGUUUAAUAAGCUUACCCAAAACUACACAGCAAGGAGGAGGCUGUGUCGGGAAUCAAACUCAGUCACUGUGGCCCCCAAGUCCAUGCUCAUAACCACCAGGAGAUCUGGUAACACUCGCCGAAACCAGUGCUUCCUGGGACCUAGUUUGGAAAAGCUGGUUGUGAAAUACAUACUGCGGUUCAGCCUCCUCCCGCCUAAGAGCAACAAUGCCUGUGAGCAUAACCUUACCAAGAAGCGUGAAUCAUAUGAUAAUUACAUAUGGCACCCACAUAUCCAGAGGAGAACAGCACGGUGUGAGCCCUCAUCAAAUUGUCCAAGCCAGAAACCUAGGCCUUUUCCUGGAAUGACGUUCCUCCACAGGUCUCUAAUAGGUGGACCCCUGCAGCAUUCACCCAGCUUUUUCACUGCGCCUGAAUAGAAGAUGCCCUUUCAGGCCAGGCGCAGUGGCUCACACCUGUAAUCCCAGCACUUUGGGAGGCCGAGGCGGGUGGAUCACGAGGUCAAGAGAUCGAGACCAUCCUGGCCAACAUGGUGAAACCCCGUCUCUAAUAAAAAUAAAAAUAAAAAAAAUUAGCUGGGUGUGGUGGUGCAUGCCUUGUAGUCCCAGCUGCUCGGGAGGCUGAGGCAGAAGAAUUGCUUCAACCCAGGAGAUGGAGGUUGCAGUGAGCCAAGAUCGCACCACUGCACUCCAGCCUGGUGACCCAGAAAGACUUCAUCUAAAAAAAAAGUUGCCCUUUCAUAACUGUUACCUCUGGACGUACUCUUUCUAGAAAGUCCUGCCCUUCGCUGUGCUAUCCCUGAAGAUCAGCACAAAUGUCAUCUCCAAGAGGAAGCCUGGAGCACCCACCAUCACCAUCACCACCCACAGAUGGACAAAAUUACCAAUAGUCUCCUCUCUCAGGUUUCCCAUAUAAUUACCUUUAUUACACUUAACAUAAAUAAGAUAGCCUCUCCACCUCUUUUUUUCAGUUAAAUGAUCCAACCAACUAAACUUUAAUUCAAUCGACUAUCGUUUGGCCACAAAUACUAUAUUCACUCUUUCUCUAAUCGAAUCAGAACUUGAAUGUCAAUAUCAUCCCUAAACCUUAUCAUCCACCCUCCCAUUAUCCAGCAUCCACCUCCUGAACUCAGUCACGGCCUCCAAAUACUAUAGCCAGCUCCCAGAAUUAAAAGGUUGAGCCUCAAAUUCUCAGAAAAGUUUAACAAGAAAAACAACUAGAAAGAAGGAGAUUUAUCCUAAAAGUCUGAUAUACUGUUCUGUAGAAUUUUCCCCUAAGUUCCAAGAUGAUAACUUCCUCUUUCAGCCUUAAUUCUCAGCGAAAAUACCCACAAAACUAAAAGCUACUGCUUUAAGCUCUUAAAUUUUAUCAGCAAAAUGAGGCUGAGGACCCGAGCCCACGCAAAUGGUGAAACUUUAAGAAAGAAGAAUAAAUAGAACAAAAAAGAAUGAUUGUUCUAGUUAUUCUUCCCUGAUUGAGACAUUAUGGUUUGUUUUUCCAAUAGGUUUUGUCAUAAAGGAGGAAAUAGGCAUAUUACAGAAAAGUUUGAAAAGAAAUGUAAAUAAAUAAAAAGUUCACUCAACAUGAACACAUAAGUAACAUAACUAUUAAUGUUUGCAAGUUCCCUUCCAAUAUUUUAUGUGCACAUAGAUCUGUAUAUAUUUAGCAAUUUUAAUCAAACUUUGCAUCCCAUUUGAUGACUUUUUUUCCAUUUAAGUUUUUUUUUCUGUUUUUGUUUUUGAGACGGAGUCUGGCUCUGUCUUCCAGGCUGGAGUAGUGCAAUGGUGCGAUCUCGGCCCACUGCAACCUCCGCCGGCUGGGUUCAAGUGAUUCUCCUGCCUCAGCCUCCCGAGUAGUUGGGAUUACAGGCGCCCACCACCACGCCCGGCUAAUUUUUGUAUUUUUAGUAGAGACGGGGUUUUGCCAUGUUGGUCAGGCUGGUCUCAAACUCCUGACCUCAGGUGAUCUGCCCUCCUCGGCCUCCCAAAGUGCUGGGAUUACAGGCGUGAGCCACCUCGCCCGGUAUUAUUCUUGUUUUUAUAUAAUCAUCAUAGUCAUUGAUUUAAAUAAAUGUGGUACAUUCUAUUGUUAAAAAAUAAAUAAAUAAAUAAAAGUAUCAAUAGCAAUAAUACAACAGAGGAGAGGGAGCAGCAUUCUGUUCUAGUGACUCAGAAAUGCCGAUUAAAUACACAAACUAAUUUAGAAAAAAAUGUGCCCUCCUCCAGGCUUAGUCACAAAGUAAAAUAUGCAAACAGCAUCAGUGUUUUAAAAAUCUCACAAAACUAAAACUUAAACUAUUUUAACAAGAGAAAAAGAACUUAGUUUUCAAUACAAGCAACAAUAACAGACCCCCGCAAAUAACACCUUUUGUCAUGGUCGGUUUUCAUGUUGCUUUCCACCAGUCUGAAUUCUAUUUUAAACGGAUUAUCCUACAAGUGGCAGAUAUACUGUCCUCUCCAGAGUCAGCCUUGAAAUGAAACAGCUGAUGGUGGGCCUGGCCUGGGUGUAGGGCGUGCCCCGAUAGCAUCUCCACUCAAUGAUCCCUCCAACACCACCACAGUAUCCUGAACCAGUUGUCAAAGCAAAGCCACAACACCUCACAUCAACCAGGUGCCAAAAAAGAACUAGUGUAUGAAUUCAGAAUUCCGCCACCAGACCAGAAGUCCUUCAAAGGAUAUCUAGAUAAUAUUAUUGCACGCUUUCGAAUAAAGGGUUUAAAAAUGUCUUCCAACCUUUGCUUGGUGGAAAGCCAAUAUUUUGGCAUGCAAUCAGGUAGGGGUAAGGGGAAGAACCCUCACAUGUUCAGAGACAAGGAAGUACAAAAUAUACUAGAAGGGAAAAGCUUGAACAAGAAACCUAUGACUUCUAUAUGUGUUCCCUGGGGGAAAAAAUCCACACCACGUGAGAGAGAAAUGAAACCUAAGAGAUGUCACAAUUUCAAAAUAAAUGCUGCACCAUAAAUGUCUCUGAGCUGUAAGACCUCAUUUUUUUCUUUCAUUUGUAUCAAAGUAAUACAUGUUUGAUAAAACGGUUUAAAAGAAUGGAACAUGGUUUUAUAUUCUUGGUUUAAAAAGAAAAGUAAUCCUGAAAGGGUUAUUUUCACAAACAAAAAAGCAGUUUCCUGUCUAUUUUUCUCUUCCCUGGAGGCAACCACCUCCAGUCCUUUCAGUUGCUUCUUCUGGUGUUUACCUCCUUAUUUUCUAAUAAUUCUUACAUUGCUAUGUUGUGACUAAUCAAUUUUAAAUUUUAUCUACUGACUUUUUGGUUUGGUGGAUGAAGAUUUAAUUUUUCAUAUGAUAGAUUGAAAUGUCUGGCCAGGUCAUUUGAAGAAGAGUGUAUUAUGGAUGCUGUCAAUUUCUAAGCCAGAUAGGAAAAAUGCAAGAAAUUAAAGUACACGCCAAUCCUAAUUAUAAAUAGAAUGGCAAAAUGCCCAAACAAAAUAUUAACAAAUGGAAUUCAGCAGUUUAUGAAUACAUACAUGAAAAUGGACAAAAUAGGCUUUUCUCAAAGGUAGCUCAACACUAGAAAUCUCUAUGUGUGUAACUUACCACACUAAUAACAUCUCAAUCCCUGCAGAUAAAAUAUUAAUUGCGAACUAGAGUCCUUCACUUGAUGAAAAGUAUUUUUUAGAAACGUAC